rnacentral:lncRNA from 1 species
GAUUGGUGCAGUGAAAUGUGUUGUUGUACAGGGUCAGACAGUAGUAUGAUAGAUGCAGUGUAAUGUGUUGUUUUACAGGGUCAGCCAUAGUAGUAUGAUAGGUGCAGUGUAAUGUGUUGUUGUACAGGGUCAGACAGUAGUAUGAUAGGUGUUGUUUUACAGGGUCAGACAGUAGUAUGAUAGGUGCAGUGUAAUGUGUUGUUGUACAGGGUCAGACAGUAGUAUGAUAGGUGCAGUGUAAUGUGUUGUUGUACAGGGUCAGACAUAGUAGUAUGAUAGGUGCAGUGUAAUGUGUUGUUGUACAGGGUCAGACAGUAGUAUGAUAGGUG